rnacentral:lncRNA from 1 species
AGGGUGUAGUCGGCCUUAGAAGGUGGGAGACACUUGAGCAGGGGUAGAGAUGCUAACCUUUUGUAGAGUUAAUUAUCCAUGAUUAGGUACUGAGUCACCAAUCUUUUUACUCGGUGCGCCUCGGUAGGAUCAGUCGGCAAUGCUCCAUUUGUCAAGAAAUCAAUGAAUGGGUCAAUCCAACUCAGCUCUCGUCUGACUUCAAUCUAACAUAUUUCUUCCUCUGAGUUACUGCUCGGGCUCUCG